GUGAACGCUGGCGGUAGGCCUAACACAUGCAAGUCGAACGGCAGCACAGUAAGAGCUUGCUCUUACGGGUGGCGAGUGGCGGACGGGUGAGGAAUACAUCGGAAUCUACUUUUUCGUGGGGGAUAACGUAGGGAAACUUACGCUGAUACCGCAUACGACCUACGGGUGAAAGCAGGGGAUCUUCGGGCCUUGCGCGAUUGAAUGAGCCGAUGUCGGAUUAGCUAGUUGGCGGGGUAAAGGCCCACCAAGGCGACGAUCCGUAGCUGGUCUGAGAGGAUGAUCAGCCACACUGGAACUGAGACACGGUCCAGACUCCUACGGGAGGCAGCAGUGGGGAAUAUUGGACAAUGGGCGCAAGCCUGAUCCAGCCAUACCGCGUGGGUGAAGAAGGCCUUCGGGUUGUAAAGCCCUUUUGUUGGGAAAGAAAAGCAGCAGGUUAAUACCCCGCUGUUCUGACGGUACCCAAAGAAUAAGCACCGGCUAACUUCGUG
rnacentral:rRNA from 1 species